rnacentral:tRNA from 1 species
AAGGAAUUAGUUAAUUAUAACAUUAGAAUGUCAAACUAAAAUUACUUUCAAUAAGUAUUCCUUA